CCUACACAUGCAAGUCGAACGAAGUAGCAAUACUUAGUGGCAGACGGGUGAGUAACAUGUAGGUAUCUGCCCUUUGGCCUGGAAUAACACGAGGAAACUUGUGCUAAUACCGGAUAAGUCUUUACGGAGAAAGCUUUAUGCACCAUUGGAUGAGCCUGCACUUGAUUAGUUUGUUGGUGGGGUAAUGGCCUACCAAGACUGUGAUCAAUAGCUGAUUUGAGAGGAUGAUCAGCCACAUUGGGACUGAGACACGGCCCAAACUCCUACGGGAGGCAGCAGUGGGGAAUCUUGCACAAUGGAGGAAACUCUGAUGCAGCGAUGCCGCGUGAGUGAAGAAGGCCCUUGGGUUGUAAAGCUCUUUCGUCGGGGAAGAAAAUGACUGUACCCGAAUAAGAAGGUCCGGCUAACUUCGUGCCAGCAGCCGCGGUAAUACGAAGGGACCUAGCGUAGUUCGGAAUUACUGGGCUUAAAGAGUUCGUAGGUGGUUGAAAAAGUUAGUGGUGAAAUCCCAGAGCUUAACUCUGGAACUGCCAUUAAAACUUUUCAGCUAGAGUAUGAUAGAGGAAAGCAGAAUUUCUAGUGUAGAGGUGAAAUUCGUAGAUAUUAGAAAGAAUACCAAUUGCGAAGGCAGCUUUCUGGAUCAUUACUGACACUGAGGAACGAAAGCAUGGGUAGCGAAGAGGAUUAGAUACCCUCGUAGUCCAUGCCGUAAACGAUGUGUGUUAGACGUUGGAGAUUUAUUUUCAGUGUCGCAGCGAAAGCGAUAAACACACCGCCUGGGGAGUACGACCGCAAGGUUAAAACUCAAAGGAAUUGACGGGGGCCCGCACAAGCGGUGGAUUAUGUGGUUUAAUUCGAAGCAACGCGCAGAACCUUACCCAGGCUUGAAAUCCUGAGAAUCCUCCCGAAA
rnacentral:rRNA from 1 species